rnacentral:rRNA from 1 species
AUUGAACGCUGGCGGCAGGCUUAACACAUGCAAGUCGAGCGGAGAUGAGGUGCUUGCACCUUAUCUUAGCGGCGGACGGGUGAGUAAUGCUUAGGAAUCUGCCUAUUAGUGGGGGACAACAUUCCGAAAGGAAUGCUAAUACCGCAUACGUCCUACGGGAGAAAGCAGGGGAUCUUCGGACCUUGCGCUAAUAGAUGAGCCUAAGUCGGAUUAGCUAGUUGGUGGGGUAAAGGCCUACCAAGGCGACGAUCUGUAGCGGGUCUGAGAGGAUGAUCCGCCACACUGGGACUGAGACACGGCCCAGACUCCUACGGGAGGCAGCAGUGGGGAAUAUUGGACAAUGGGGGGAACCCUGAUCCAGCCAUGCCGCGUGUGUGAAGAAGGCCUUAUGGUUGUAAAGCACUUUAAGUGAGGAGGAGGCUACUGAGACUAAUACUCUUGGAUAGUGGACGUUACUCGCAGAAUAAGCACCGGCUAACUCUGUGCCAGCCGCCGCUGUAACAC